GCGAGAGUGGCGGAAUUGGCAGACGCGCCAGAUUUAGGUUCUGGUGGGUAACCCCCGUGCGGGUUCGAGUCCCGCCUCUCGCA
rnacentral:tRNA from 1 species